rnacentral:rRNA from 1 species
GAUGAACGCUAGCUACAGGCUUAACACAUGCAAGUCGCGGGGCAGCAUGUAUCUGGCUUGCCAGAUACGAUGGCGACCGGCGCACGGGUGAGUAACGCGUAUCCAACCUGCCCAUAACCACGGCACAGCCCGUCGAAAGGCGGAUUAAUGCCGUAUGAGGUUCCAGUGUAGCAUUAUGGUGGAACGAAGGAUUUGGCGGUUAUGGAUGGGGAUGCGUCCGAUUAGCUAGUUGGCGGGGUAACGGCCCACCAAGGCGACGAUCGGUAGGGGUUCUGAGAGGAAGGUCCCCCACACUGGAACUGAGACACGGUCCAGACUCCUACGGGAGGCAGCAGUGAGGAAUAUUGGUCAAUGGGCGCGAGACUGAACCAGCCAAGUAGCGUGCAGGAUGACGGCCCUCUGGGUUGUAAACUGCUUUUAGUGGGAAUAAAAGGCGGUACGUGUACCGCGUAUUGUAUGUACCAUCAGAAAAAAGGACCGGCUAAAUUCCCGUAGCCAGCAGCCG